UACGAAGGGGGCGAGCGUUGUUCGGAAUUACUGGGCGUAAAGGGCGCGCAGGCGGCCUUAGAAGUCAGAUGUGAAAGCCCCGGGCUCAACCUGGGAAUGGCAUUUGAUACUCUGAGGCUGGAGUACGGGAGAGGAGAGUGGAAUUCCCAGUGUAGAGGUGAAAUUCGUAGAUAUCAGGAGGAAUACCGAUGGCGAAGGCAGGUCUCUGGGCUGACACUGACGCUCAUGCACGAAAGCGUGGGGAGCAAACAGG
rnacentral:rRNA from 1 species